AGAACGAACGCUGGCGGCAUGCCUAACACAUGCAAGUCGAACGAGACCUUCGGGUCUAGUGGCGCACGGGUGCGUAACGCGUGGGAAUCUGCCCUUGGGUUCGGAAUAACAGUUGGAAACGACUGCUAAUACCGGAUGAUGACGUAAGUCCAAAGAUUUAUCGCCCAGGGAUGAGCCCGCGUAGGAUUAGCUAGUUGGUGAGGUAAAGGCUCACCAAGGCGACGAUCCUUAGCUGGUCUGAGAGGAUGAUCAGCCACACUGGGACUGAGACACGGCCCAGACUCCUACGGGAGGCAGCAGUGGGGAAUAUUGGACAAUGGGCGAAAGCCUGAUCCAGCAAUGCCGCGUGAGUGAUGAAGGCCUUAGGUUGUAAAGCUCUUUUACCCGGGAUGAUAAUGACAGUACCGGAGAAUAAGCUCCGGCUAACUCCGUGCCAGCAGCCGC
rnacentral:rRNA from 1 species